GAUGAACGCUAGCUACAGGCUUAACACAUGCAAGUCGAGGGACCGGCGCACGGGUGAGUAACACGUAUCCACCCUGCCCUUUACUCUGAGAUAGCCUUUCGAAAGAAAGAUUAAUACCCUAUCUAAUGGAUGGGUAUGCGUUCCAUUAGGUUGUUGGUGAGGUAACGGCUCACCAAGCCUUCGAUGGUGAGGGGUUCUGAGAGGAAGGUCCCCUGCAAUUGAACUGAGACCCGGUCUAAAAGGCGACGGGAGGCAGGAGUGAGGAAGAGUGUUCAAUGGGCGCUAGCCUGAACCAGCCAAGUAGCGUGAAGAAUGAGGGCUUAUGGGUCGUAAACUUCUGUUAUAUAAGAAUAUGUAUUAUAUGAAUAAGGAUCGGCUAACUCCGUGCCAGCAGCCGCGGUAAUUC
rnacentral:rRNA from 1 species